CCUACGGGCGGCAGCAGUGAGGAAUAUUGGUCAAUGGACGAGAGUCUGAACCAGCCAAGUAGCGUGAAGGAUGACUGCCCUAUGGGUUGUAAACUUCUUUUAUAUGGGAAUAAAACGUUCCACGUGUGGGAUUUUGUAUGUACCAUAUGAAUAAGGAUCGGCUAACUCCGUGCCAGCAGCCGCGGUAAUACGGGGGAUGCAAGCGUUAUCCGGAUUUAUUGGGUUUAAAGGGUGCGUAGGCUGUGAGGUAAGUCAGCGGUGAAAUGCCCCGGCUCAACGGGGUGAAGUGCCAUUGAUACUGCCUUGCUGGAGUGCGGAUGCCGUGGGAGGAAUGUGUGGUGUAGCGGUGAAAUGCUUAGAUAUCACGAAGAACUCCGAUUGCGAAGGCAGCUUACUAGACUGCCACUGACAUUGAUGCUCGAAAGUGUGGGUAUCAAACAGGAUUAGAUACCCUAGUAGUC
rnacentral:rRNA from 1 species